GUACAAGUGGCGGCGGUCACUUUGCUAACUUUACAAAUUUUAACUUUAAUUGUCAAACACAGAUUUGCGUGAAGGUACAUGUGCUCAUCCUAAUUAAGAGUUUUUAAUUAAAUUAUUGAUGCUCCAAAAGUGGUUUAAGUAUCGACUGUGUGUCCUGAGAGCUGCUGCAAAGGAUUUUUUCCAAUGUAACCCUCGCAUAACACGGUUUAAGAAUUGAGACCAUCCCCUUCAUAACACUGUUAUGUUAGGUGCUGUUAAAGCACGAGUUUGCUCUAACACUGUUUGAGAAUUGAACAAAACCC